rfam:Asian citrus Psyllid, Diaphorina citri - Florida Strain, whole genome shotgun sequence.
GCUCCCAUGGCGUAGUGGUCACUGCGCUCGCCUUGCACGCGGGAGACCCAGGUUCGAUUCCCGGCGGGGUCA